GGGUCAGUAGGUUGGUCGUGCCACCGGGACGUACUGGUCUCACUGAUUCCUCCUUCCUGAAGAACCGUAAUGCCAUUAAUUUGGUGUUGCGGGGAAACAGGACUGUUACUUUGAAAAAAUUAGAGUGGUUAAAGCAAGCUAACGCUUGAAUACAUUAGCAUGGAAUAAUGAAAUAGGACGAUCGAUCCUAUUUUGUUGGUUUCUAGGAUUGACGUA
rnacentral:rRNA from 1 species